UCGGAGUGUGGCUCAGUUUGGUAGAGCGCUACGUUCGGGACGUAGAGGUCGCAAGUUCGAAUCUUGUCACUCCGAU
rnacentral:tRNA from 1 species